rnacentral:rRNA from 1 species
ACGGAGGGGACUAGCGUUGUUCGGAAUUACUGGGCGUAAAGCGCACGUAGGCGGCUUUCUAAGUCAGGGGUGAAAUCCUGGAGCUCAACUCCAGAACUGCCUUUGAUACUGAAGAGCUUGAGUCCGGGAGAGGUGAGUGGAACUCCGAGUGUAGAGGUGAAAUUCGUAGAUAUUCGGAAGAACACCAGUGGCGAAGGCGGCUCACUGGCCCGGUACUGACGCUGAUGUGCGAAAGCGUGGGGAGCAAACAGGA